GUCCACGCCGUAAACGAUGGGUGCUAGGUGUCGCAGGCUUUGACCCCUGCGGUUCCGUAGCUAACGCAUUAAGCACCCCGCCUGGGGAGUACGGCCGCAAGGCUAAAACUCAAAGGAAUUGACGGGGGCCCGCACAAGCGGUGGAGCAUGUGGUUCAAUUCGACGCAACGCGCAGAACCUUACCUGGGCUAGAAAGUGCAAGAACUUGGUUGAAAAAUCGAGGUGCUCUUCGGAUAACUUGCAGUUAGGUGCUGCAUGGCUGUCGU
rnacentral:rRNA from 1 species